rnacentral:rRNA from 1 species
AAAAAAAGGUCCCGAAUAGGUGCUGCAUCGCCCCCACCGCUUCGCCUCGAUUGGCACCGGCGAAGGCCACCCCGCCGCUCGACCUCGACUCGCACUGGAGGCGACCACCACCAUCCUCCCUGCUCCCUCCCCUCCCCCAACUCGAUAUGGAUGCCUAACCUGCGGGAACGGGCAGGCGGCCGGCGGGCGAUGUGAGGCGCGGUGGCGGCACGAGGAAGACGGGCAGAUCCGGGCACGGCGUCGACCGAUCUGGCGGCUGGUGCGGCGGCUUGUUCCUGUCCCAACGGCGUCCUGCUCAUCCAUAGAAGGAGAGAGAAGGGCCCGAGGGAGAGAGGAAAUAGAUGAAGAAAGGAGAAGGGGCGAUCACAGGGUGAGGGAGGCAGUCGCCGGCGAUGGCGGCUCCGGUGACUGGUCGACGGGCUUGCUAGGCAAGGCUAAGGAGUACGCUAGGCUGAGAUUCGAUAGAGGGAAGAAGUUGUGGUGGCGGCGAAUUAUGCAGCCAUUGUCUCUCACAACCGCCGGCCCCUGCUCGCGACAUAUCUACUGAAGCCGCCUCUGCCUACUCCGGUGUGUUGCAGCUCCUUACUCUAGCCACAUGUCGCUUGCUCUCCCGCUAGCCUCUGCCUGCUCUAGUCUCGAAGUUGAUGACACCCUAAUGCAAAGCUCCCACAAUCAUCCGCUCCGUCUCAGCAGGAGGAGAGCAAUGGAAAUAACACCCCGUCGCGGUCCUGGUGCUUCUCUCCGUGGGUUCGCUUACCUCGGCGUUUGUGGCUUCUACAGGUACGUACUAGACGACUACCCAUUGUUUUUGUUUUCUAUUGACAGUUUGAUCGCUUCAUCAAUCCUUCUAGAGGGUCUUGACAGGAAGGAUUGAGCAGCCACUGUGCUGGAGUAGACUAUGUGACAGGUUUUUUCCUCUCUCUCCUACCCGUGAUUGGUUUCUUUGGUGAAGAAAGCAUCACUAUCUUUCAAUACAUCAUGGAUGCUCAACUUGUAUGUCUACAUGGUACAAGAAUGAAGAUUAACCAUUCAAUCUAUUGAUUCAGAGUGAGACAAGGGUGAAACAGAAUAAGCUCAUUUUUGUGGUGAGUUCCCUAGGCCCCAGAACUAGCAUUUUAAUUACAAAAUUCAGUCUUUGAUCACGUUAUUUCAGUUUCAUUAUAGACCUUAUAAUAUUUUUUAUGCAUUAAUAUAAGGUUUAUAAUAUUUUGUGGAGCAAUCAGUUGUGCAUAGAAAAGAGCUCACCUAAAUUAAUGACACGUUCAUCUUAUCUUCGAUUAAAAAAAUUUGCCCCCUAAUAUUCAGUUCUACUGAGAGUUGUAGAAGGCAAAAAUCCAGCAAAUUAACUCAAGUAAGUGUUUUUGGUAUUUCCCAACGUAAUUAAAAAAUUUCUUCUCAAAAUACGACAUGGUCAUUGUCGGAAAAGAAUAUUUAGCAUGAAUGUAGGUGCUUUCAUAUGAAGCUGGACAUGUUUACAAUGAUCGACCGGAUAUCGUUACACGUGUCCUGAAGUUUAAUGAUUUCUGAGAAGUUGUUAAAAGUGGACAUUUGUUUCAUACAAUUCAAGCAUGUAAGUUAUAUACAUACUGAUUUUGCCCUGCUUUGUUUUAAUCUUUUCAUUUAUAUAAUCUAACUUUGUCCAUCUAUUUCUCUUCCUCUAUUUUUCGGUUAUCCAAGUUUAUACAUGGUGGGGUUCCAGAAUAGAGGCUUGCCUCAUACUCAUACUUCAAUUCGGCUUAUAGGGAACAAUCAUGAGCCUUCGGCCUCCUUCAUAGAUGGUUUGAUUUCGGCUGAGAUACCUGAUCGUUUGGUUGAGCCCUGGGUUAUGCUCUUAUGGAUUAAUUUAUGGUUCACGGUCCAUGUGGAGACUACAAAGUAAAGUGUGCAUGUAUGAAAGAUGGAUUGUGUUCCAAAAGAUUUCCCAAAGAUUUUAAUGAGAAGACAUCGGUUGAUGAUAGAGGCUUUCCUAUAUAUCAUAGACGUGAUUUGGGUUACUAUGUGAGGAACAAGGGUACUGUUAAGCUGGAUAAUCGAUGGGUAGUUUUCAUAUAAUAGUUUUGGUAAUGUAAUUAUUAAUGUAUAUUUCUGCUUGCGAAGCGUACUGGCAUAUGUUUGCUUUCAAUAUACAUGGUCGUGAGCCUGUAGUGGAGAGAUUGGUUGUGCACCUUCCUCGAGUCUUCAUUACGAGUUACCUUGGAACCAGGAUUUUAAUUUUUGUUGAUAAGACGACAAAAAUUAAUGGAUACAAUUAUGGAGAAAAUAAAUU